rnacentral:rRNA from 1 species
UACGGAGGGAGCUAGCGUUGUUCGGAAUUACUGGGCGUAAAGCGCACGUAGGCGGCUUUGUAAGUUAGAGGUGAAAGCCCGGGGCUCAACCCCGGAAUUGCCUUUAAGACUGCAUCGCUUGAAUCCGGGAGAGGUGAGUGGAAUUCCGAGUGUAGAGGUGAAAUUCGCAGAUAUUCGGAAGAACACCAGUGGCGAAGGCGGCUCACUGGACCGGUAUUGACGCUGAGGUGCGAAAGCGUGGGGAGCAAACAGG